UGGGGAAUAUUGGACAAUGGGCGCAAGCCUGAUCCAGCCAUGCCGCGUGAGUGAUGAAGGCCCUAGGGUUGUAAAGCUCUUUUGUGCGGGAAGGCCAUUGGUGAAUAUCCGGUGGUCAUGACGGUACCGUAAGAAUAAGCACCGGCUAACUUC
rnacentral:rRNA from 1 species